rnacentral:rRNA from 1 species
UACAGAGGCCACGAGCGUUAGGCGGAAUCACUGGGCUUAAAGCGUGUGUAGGUGGAUGGGUAAGUACCUUGUGAAAUCCCACGGCUCAACCGUGGAAAUGCUUGGUAUACUGCCUGUCUUGAGGCACUCAGGGGCGAGCGGAACAGAUGGUGGAGCGGUGAAAUGCGUAGAUAUCAUCUGGAACGCCAAUGGUGAAGACAGCUCGCUGGGGAUGUACUGACGCUGAGACACGAAAGCCAGGGGAGCAAACGGG